rnacentral:lncRNA from 1 species
CCAAAGAGUAAUGGCGUCCAUUCACAACAGUUUAUUAUGUCUCCUAUUUCUGUGAGUUGGUGAGGCAGUCUUCAGCUCCAUGUAAUGUUAGCUGGGUUCACUCUUGCACCUGCACUCAGCCAGCUGCUUAGUUGGGGCUGGAACACAGAAGGCUUCCUUUCUUCUCCACACAGUCUUUCCAUUUGGCCUCUCAUCAUUCAGGAGCCCAAGGAUCUUUCAUGUUGGUUAGAUUCCAAGAAAGCAAAAAUGGAAUCUGAUAGCAAUCUGAUAGCAAUCUCAAGGACCAGCUUUGGAAGCCAUGGAAUGCAGGAGCCCAUUUAUACAGGCUCACGAGGGCCAAUCGCCAAUCAUCGUGCACAUCUCUUCCCCAUUCCAUGAGCUGGUUUUCCAGAACAUUCCUGCCUGGAAGUCAUACACCAUCACUUCUGCUGCGUUCUAUUUGUCUCAGCAAGUCACAGUGCCAGCCAAGAGCCAAUGCAGAAGGAAAAACACUUUAUUUUUUGUUCAGAAGAAUUGCAAAAAAAUCUGUGGCCAUCUUGAAUCCACUAUAGCCUUCCCUCUGGCCACAUAUUGUUUAAAUUCUUAAAAUAUUCUCACCCCCUCUCGGAGUGGAGCACAGUCUCAUCUCAUUAAAGUGUCAGGCUCGAAGUUCAAUACUUAACUAUCAGUGCUAUAUUCAGAUGUGAGAGCAGCUCCUCAAGUAUUUCUUAUCUGUAUCUACAGACCUAUAAAUUGUUUUCUGAGACCUCCCCCUAAUCUCUCCAACUCCCUCACCCCCACCGGGCAUGCAGUGGUGAGAAAGGUCAGGAAAACCACAGUAGACACUGUGGUAAUUCUAAAACCUGCCUGGAAUUAAUAAUGUCACCUCACUAUAAAACCAGUGGUUCUAUUUCUAGGGAUACAAGCCAAAUAUAAGUACAGUAUGUUCACUGUAGGAUUAGUUAUAUAGGAAACAGCCUCUAUAUGCAAAAAUAAGAGAUAAAUUAUGCUGUAUCCAUAUAAUAAUAUUAUCUAUUAAAAGUGAUGUAGAACAGCUAUUUCUUUACUCCACCUUUUAAAAAAUAUUUAUUGAGUUUCUAAGGUGUGCAAGGCAUUCUGUAAAAAAUCAGUAAAGAACAGAGGUAAUCUCUGGCUUCAAGGAUCUUGGAGAUCAAAGAAGCAAGAGUGUCAUUAAACAGAUGACUAAUGGAUAUAUCUGACUGAUUAUAAAUGUGAUAAUCACUAUGAGGGGAAAUUAUUGGGUGCUAUUAAAUCAUCAGUGGACCUAACCUACAGGGAGGUGACUUAGGG